GCGGUUUCUCCCCUCUGAAUAUGAUUCUCCCAAACAGAACAGAUGAGAGAGUUUGUGACGAAGGAAGAAAAAUGGGUGGAGAAGAAAGAGCGGACCCACCGGCCCCGAAGGUCCUCCGUCUCCUCUAUUUCGUCGGCGCCGGAUUUAUUUGCACCGUUGGAAUCAGUAAGUAGCGCGAGAUGCAGCGCAAGUCCAUGGCUUUACAGCAACAGCAGCAGCUCCCCGAAAAUGCUGCAAAUGCCCUUGAGUGAUGUCAGGUUUUUGUUUGAAAUUCUUGCUGAAUGUGUGAAACAGUAACAAUUUGAGUGAUUUGUUCUGAAAUUUUGCAUAAAUAUGAAAUCUUGCUGUGUUUUGAGCCGGAUUUUCGAAUUUCGCCGCGGAAUUUGGCAAUCUGUCUCAGCUUUUAAGUUUA